CCCCUUCAUAUGGCUGUCUAUUGGAAUACAUUUCUCAUUUCCCAAGUUUUUCUUUUUCCACGCACAAUAACAGUUGAAAUUUAUUAUUGUUUCUCAAUUUUUUUCAGGAUAAAGUUCCAAUUUGAAUCUAGGUUUCUCAUUCAGCCAUUACUCUGCGACGCUUGAGCUUCUCCAAGAUUUGUUGAAAGAGGCGAGUGAAGACAAAAUCGAAGAGAAAAUCGGAGACAAUAAAUUUCAGAGAAGUUGUUGCGUGGAUGUUUAAAGGUUUGGAUCGUUGAAGUUUUGAUGAGUUGACGAAGAAGACGCUGACUCUGCUCAUAUAUUCGAGGUUGUCGUUAUUGUUGGUGUUGCUUUGCGGGUUCUGGAAAUCGACGUAUGCAAGUUCUGGAAAUCGAUUGGAUCCUAUCACAACCCAUCGAAAUGUUGUAGCUUCUUUGUUUGCAGUUAUAAUAUCGAGUAGCUCACAAACUGGAAUUCUGCUCUGAUUAUUCAACUGUCGCAAGAUAUCAGUUCAGGUAGGGCUGAUUGGAACGAAUUAUCUGAUACAGAUGGAGUGAAGCCGGUCUAUCGCACAAGCUACCAAGAUGAGACGAUAGCCAGCUGGAGCAACGUCGAGGCAUAAGUCACGGCCAAUUCCAGAAGAAGUGCAAGUAACAAGAAAAUUGAAUACCUAAUUGAUUAGCAUUCCAUCUCUCAAGCAGUACAAAAUGAACCUGGACAGUAACUAUGCAUGGCGGCGGAUGGAAAGACACCGUCGUCCGACAGUGUUGGAUUCGACAGGAACUGGUGUAGCUGGCUGAACACAAUUGGUACUGAUGGAAAUGGUCUAAAUAAACAACUGUGUAAAGGUUACAUGUCUCAUUUGCAUCCUCUCCUACAAUUUGAGUUUGUGUUUGUGUUUCUGCAAACAUAUAGGCGAUUGCAUUAUUUGGUACGUGAACUUCAUCAAAUAUCCACCGAAAGCAAUCGCUAAGGUUCACUUCUUUAUUUCUGUUAUAGUAGUAUUAAUCUUCGACGAGAGUGUUAUGUAAUUAGUGUUUUAUGUGGAUAUGUAGUUGGCAGCAGUUCCAAUUUAUUUUUGAAAAUUAUGAAGCAGAUAUCAAGUCAAACAUGAUAAUUGUUGUCAAAGCUCUCCAGCCACUUCUCGAUUCAAAACCGGCUGGACCUAGCUCUAAUGCUUGACAU